rnacentral:rRNA from 1 species
GAUGAACGCUGGCGGUGUGCCUAAUACAUGCAAGUCGAGCGAACAGACGAGGAGCUUACUCCUCUGACGUUAGCGGCGGACGGGUGAGUAACACGUGGAUAACCUACCUAUAAGACUGGGAUAACUUCGGGAAACCGGAGCUAAUACCGGAUAACAUGUUGAACCGCAUGGUUCAACAGUGAAAGACGGUCUUGCUGUCACUUAUAGAUGGAUCCGCGUCGCAUUAGCUAGUCGGUAAGGUAACGGCUUACCAAGGCAACGAUGCGUAGCCGACCUGAGAGGGGGACGGGCAACACGGGAACGGGGACCCGGCCCAGACUCCUAGGGGAGGCACCAGGGGGGACUCUUCCACAAGGGGCGAAGGCCGAACGAAAAAAGCCCGCGAGAGGGAAGAGGGUCUGGGGAUCGAAAACUUUUUUUAUGGGGAAAGAAAAAUGGUGAAGUAAACCCUCCCCGUUUUGACGUUACCUAAAAAAAAGGCCCCGGCAAACUCCGGC